GGAUCUAGCUCAGUGGUAGAGUACCUAUCUAGCAUUCAUGAAGCCCUGGGUUCAAUCCCCAAUAAUGCA
rnacentral:tRNA from 1 species